UGGCUGGGGGUGAAAGGCCAAUCAAACCGGGAGAUAGCUGGUUCUCCCCGAAAGCUAUUUAGGUAGCGCCUCGUGAAUUCAUCUUCGGGGGUAGAGCACUGUUUCGGCUAGGGGGUCAUCCCGACUUACCAACCCGAUGCAAACUACGAAUACCGAAGAAUGUUAUCACGGGAGACACACGGCGGGUGCUAACGUCCGUCGUGAAGAGGGAAACAACCCAGACCGCCAGCUAAGGUCCCAAAGUCAUGGUUAAGUGGGAAACGAUGUGGGAAGGCACAGACAGCCAGGAUGUUGGCUUAGAAGCAGCCAUCAUUUAAAGAAAGCGUAAUAGCUCACUGGUCGAGUCGGCCUGCGCGGAAGAUGUAACGGGGCUAAACCAUGCACCGAAGCUGCGGCAGCGACACUAUGUGUUGUUGGGUAGGGGAGCGUUCUGUAAGCCUGCGAAGGUGUGCUGUGAGGCAUGCUGGAGGUAUCAGAAGUGCGAAUGCUGACAUAAGUAACGAUAAAGCGGGUGAAAAGCCCGCUCGCCGGAAGACCAAGGGUUCCUGUCCAACGUUAAUCGGGGCAGGGUGAGUCGACCCCUAAGGCGAGGCCGAAAGGCGUAGUCGAUGGGAAACAGGUUAAUAUUCCUGUACUUGGUGUUACUGCGAAGGGGGGACGGAGAAGGCUAUGUUAGCCGGGCGACGGUUGUCCCGGUUUAAGCAUGUAGGCUGGUU
rnacentral:rRNA from 1 species